CUAGAGUGCAGUGGCAUGAUCUUGGCUCACUGCCACCUUUGUCUCCCAGGUUCAAGCAAUUCUUCUGCCUCAGCCUCCCAAGUAGCUGGGAUUACAGGUGCCCACCACCGUGCUGGCUAAAUUUUGUAUUUUUAGUAGCUAUGGGGUUUCAUCUUCUAUCUACUAGGCUGGUCUCGAACUCCUGGUCUGGUCUCGAACCAGAGACCAGAUUCUCAAACCAGGCUGAUCUUGAACUCUGACCUCAUGAUCCACCUGCCUUGGCCUCCCAAAGUGCUGGGAUUACAGGCAUGAGCCACUGCACCCUGCCUUUUUUUGUAUUUUUUGUAGAGACCAGGUUUCAUCAUGUCCCCCAGGCUGGUCUUGAACUUCUGGCCUCAAGUGAUCCUCCCACCUUGGCCUCCCAAAGUGCUGGGACUACAGGUAUGGGUCACUGUGCCCAGCCUUACUGCUCACUUCUAGAAGGAGAGACAGGCACCUCCUCCAGAAACACUUCUGUGGCCUCAUAUUCUGUGCUAGGUGCCCCUCCUUGAUCAUGGCACCUAUCACAGAAGUCUGAAAUUUUUGUCCUACUUGACUGUCUCAGCCACCAGAUUGUGAACUCUGAGGAUUAGGACCAUGUCUUUCCUUUUAUCAUCCCUUCAAUGUAAGCCAGAACUUUUUGCACAAAUUUACAAAAUGGCCCUUAGAUCUGACCUAGACAGUUCCUUGAUAUAACUGUUUUCUCACGUGAAUGCAGGGGUUAGAAGUCAGGGAGCAGACAAAGGAAGAGAUAUAAGGAAAGGAGAACUGGCCUUUAUUGACCACUUACUAAAAGCCAGACACAGUGCCAAACAUUUACAUCAUCAUAUUCUUAAGUCUGGACCUCUCUAUAAGGCAGGUAAUAGUACAAACGUUUUGUAGGUAAGGAAACUGAGGUUUACAGAGAUCAAGUAAUUAAGGUUGCAUCAUUACAGGUAAGUAAGUAGCAAGGCUUAGAUUCAAUUUGACUCCAAAAAUCCAUGUCCUUUCCACAUGCUGUGGAAUGUUUACAAUGUUUACAACCCAUUGGCUUAUUUAUUGAACAAAUAAAUGGGAUAAACAGUCAAUUCUCAAUGCACGAUUAGGUCAAUUAAUAUCUUUUACUCUUCAGAUCCAUUUUCAGGUGAAAAUUCUUACAUUUUCCGCUCCCUACUACUUAUUUGCAUCUAUAUUAUCAACAGAAUGUGUUGGCCAGGCACCCUGGCUCACACCUGUAAUCCCAGCACUUUGGGAGGCCGAGGCAGGCAGAUCACUUGAGCCCGGGAGUUCAAGACCAGCCUGGGCAACAUGGAAAACCCCGUCUCUAUACUAAAAAUACAAAAAAUUAGCUGGGCAUGGUGGUGCAUACCUGUAAUCCCAGCUACUUGGCAGGCUGAGGCAGGAGAAUCACUUGAACCUGGGAGGUGGAGGUUGCAGUGAGCCGAGAUCACGCCAUUGCACUCUAGCCUGGGUGACAGAAUGAGAAUCUGUCUUAAGAAAAAAAAGAAGAAAAAGAAAGGCAGGGGGGGAGGGGGGAGGGAUAGCAUUAGGAGAUAUACCUAAUGCUAAAUGAUGAGUUAAUGGGUGCAGCACACCAGCAUGGCACAUGUAUACAUAUGUAACUAACCUGCACAUUGUGCACAUGUACCCUAAAACUUAAAGUAUAAUAAUAAUAAAAUAAAUUUUAAAAAAAAGAGAGAAUGUGCUAGUGUGUCUCUGUGAAGUUGGAUGUGUGUUAUGUCAAUGUGUCACUGUUGGUGUGGGUGUAUGGUGCCUGUUUGUUGUGCCAAGACUGUGAGGGAUACUUAAUCUACUUCCUCCCCUCCCUUUCCUUCCUAAUGCUACUUAAGUACCCUGGGUCUGUCCCCAUGUAAGAUCCUGCCUGGGGAAGUUGUUCAGUGUUGUUGCUCCCCCGCCUUCCCUGACCCCCCUCUUUCUGAGCAUUUUUAGCACUCGUGGUUUCCUCCAGCUGUCAUCUGGUUUCUCGUGGUGCCAAUGAUUUUGGCUUGGCCCCAGCAACAGUCAAUGGGGAAGGUACUCAAUUGGUUCAGAAACAUCCUCUCAGCCAAUAAAAUGUUAAUACAUUGAAAUCCACUUUCUUCUCCCUUCCUCCCCCACAAGCCCUGACCAAUGAGAUGCUAGUUUUGUCACUUACUGCCAAUCUGGUAUUUUAGAAAACAAAAUACUGUAAUACUGUAUGAAGAUUACAGAAAUGAGACUAGAGAUGGAAGAGAAGUGUAAAUGCCGAUUCCACAGCACACUCCAGGAACCCUGGCUGUCCCACCUCCAUUACAAAAAUAGUGGCUGGACAAAUGUCCAGAUUUCCUCUGUUUGAACCACAGAAGCAGAGAAUCUCAGGGGCAGAAGGGACUUUAGGAAAUUGGCCCAACUUAUUGCUUCAACUUCCUCCCCCACCUCAAACACAUACUCAUGCACAACACUUGCCAUCUCAUAAAAUGGUUGUCCAAACUCUUCUUGAACUUCUCUAGGGACAGGGUUCUAAUCCCUUGUCAUUCAAUGCCUUUUCUUUUUCCAUUUCCUCUUUUCAUCUCCAGGACCAGAUACUUGAAUUGUUUCAGUGCCUCCUUACUUCCUGUUAUUACUGUUUCUGUUCCUCCUUAUAUAUCUACACCCCAGCUCAGGCCCACGAGGGCAAUAAGUAGGCAGAUGGGAAACAGAGCUCACUGUGGCUCUUACAGGGAGAUAUGUGCCCCCCCACAAUCCCAUCCCUAGCAAGAACUUGUUGGACUCCUAUUAGGUAAAGCCUACCUACAAUCUGGGUCUUGGAGGUGUGGUAAGGCAGAGACCAUUCCAGAAAAGGGUCAGGCCUUGCCUGGGAUUGAGGGCUGAGAUGCCCAUCACUUCUCUUCGAUGAGCUAGCUCUCUCUGCCCCUCUUUCACUCUAGCUCCUGCUUACUUACCCAAUCACAGAGGUGGCCCCUAAGCUCAGUCUCAUUUUCAGAAAAACUUACUUAUGCCAGUGAGAACCCUACUUGGUGAGCGAAGGGCUUUCUCUUAAAAUAACAGGCAGAAAAGUGAUUUAAAAGUGAAUCUACACCUGUAGUCCAAGCUACUUAGGAGGCUGAGGUGGGAGGAUUACUCGAGCCCAGGAGUUCAAGGCUGUAGUAAGUUAUGAUGGUGCCACUGCACUCCAACCUGAGCCACAGAGCGAGACUGUCUCAAAAGAAAAGGCCAGGCAUGGUGGUUCACACUGGUCAUCCCAACACUUUGGGAGAUCGAGGUGGGAAGAUCCCUUGAGGCCAGGAGUUCAAGACCAGCCUGGGCAAUAUGAUAAGACCUCGUCUCAACCAAAAAAAAAAGUAAAUUAGCUGGGUGUGGUAGCUCGUGCCUGUAGUCCUAGGUACUCAGGAGGUUGAGGUGGGAGGGUUGCUUGAGCCUGAGAGUUCAAGGCUGCAGUGAGCCAAGAUCACACCACUGUACUCCUGCCUGGUCAACAAAGGGAGACCCUAUCUCAAAAAAAAAAGUGUAUCUCCAUGAACAUUAAAGGAAAGUGAGAAGGGCUAUCAUGAUGACCUGUUCUCCAGGGCCCAGCCCAAGGUAGCCCUCCAUAACCCUCAUAGUCCAUUCAGUUCAGGGCUCAUUAGGCUCUUAUCUUCUAGUCCCUUUUACUGUCCCAUUGCUUCUGUUUGCGGGGAAGGUGGAGUGGGAGCAGUAUACAACCUCCCCUGCCCAGAAUGCAGUGUGAACCCCUUUAGGACAGUCGUAUAUAUUGUUUGUAUUUGUACCUUACAUCUACUUAUCACAGAACUCUGCUCAUUGUACCAUCAACUCAUAGUAUCAAGGUCCAUAAACAUACUAUCUGUGGUCUCAUUUUGCAAACUAGAUGAAACGAGUAAAGAUCACUAUUGUCUUGUCUCCAUCUUCUUCAGCCUGGUUAGUAGGAGGACCACAGGAAGGGCCAGGGGGCCAAGCCUAGCAGGGAGAACCGUGUUUACUGGAGAGAAGAGAGUGUGGGCAGUCUUUUCUCAUUGCUGCAGAGGAAGCAGGCGCUGUGCUGGCUGGUGUAGAGUACAGGGUGCUGUAUAAGGCACUGCCUGGUACAGAACUUGAUUAGCAAAGCCCAGAUCCAGUAAGCAUAGCACAUAUAACCACUACAACCUCCAUGGCCUGCCUCAACCCCAUAGUCCCAGCUUCACAUUCCAAGCAGUAUUUGGCAUCCCAGCUAGGGGCUGCUAUGGCAGAGUGAAGUGCCUUUGGUUCCCCCAUUCUUCACUCUUCCACCUCAACCUCAGGGUCUUCUUUACCUAUAGUUUCUCCCACAACCCCACAUCCAGUACCUUCCCCAAUCCCUAGCAGUCCUGCGUCUGCCUCUCAAAACUCCAAAUUCUUGCAGGGUCUACCUACCACCCUUGCCCAUCCCUGUUCCAUCCAUGACACAUAGAGGACUGCCCAAGUUCUUUUUUUUUUU
rnacentral:lncRNA from 10 species